rnacentral:lncRNA from 1 species
AUACUCCCAUACAUACAGGUUUCUUUUUAAUGUUACAAAGUAAUUAUUUCUAUGUUUAUGGGAUACUAUUUUACCCUAAUUGAAAUAAAUUUCUUUGUUAAUAAGACAUACUGCCCAUUAUGGAGAAAUAGCAAGCAAAAUAUAUUGACUGAUGUGUUUUAAUAUAUUCACUGUUGAGUUCUUAAAAGUGUUUAUUAUUGUAGUAUAUUACUUUGUAAUAUUAAAGUAUAGUUUAAGCUAUAUAUAUCUAUGUAUCAUCAUAGAUUGAAUUAAUCUUUUAUUCAUAGUAUCCAUACAAAAUCAUUUGAAAUUCAUGUAAAGGGUUUACUCAUCUAGUAAUAUUUUUUGUUCAAUUUUAGUUUUAUUAGCAGAAAGUUUGAGGUAUAAUCUCUUCCCAGGUAAAAUGUUUAUGAAGAAUAAAAAUGGAAUCGGUUGUUAAUUUGUUUGAGUAUAUUUAUUAAAAUAAAAACUAAAUAGAUACCAGAAAUAAGUCACAUUAUCAGUUAUCUGGUUAGAUUUUUUAAAACUAAAUGAUAAGCACCAAUAUUUAAGUGAGAAACAGGCCCACUUAGUUCUUGCUCGGUAAAUGGUCCGAUUACGCCACAGUUGGUUUGUUGAUCAUUUCAGGUUCUCUGACAUAAGUGAGAGGAAGUUAUCCUCAAACUGGAAACCAGCCUUGAAUCUUGUGGCAGUAGACUCUGCUAAACGCACCCAAAGGCCAGCUGUUGGUGGUAUUAAACUUGGCAAUGGAUUAAGUCAAUCACCCAUGACCGGGAAUGUUCCCUGAGAGGAACUUUUGUACAGUUUCCGUCUACAAAAUUCCACUCACAAGGUAUUGGUUGAUCUGAGGCUUUAGUAGAAAAUACUUGCCCUAGGUGCCUCUGCAGUGGGUUUGAACCCAAAUCCACUUUGCUGUGAAGCAAACUUAACUAUUCAGCCAUUGCUCUGAGGAACCCAUUUAUUUGAUCUAGUUAGAUCUGGAAAGUUCUUGAUAAACAAUCUUUAUUAUAGUAUAAUAGUAGACUUAACAAAUAUUACUAAGUUUAUAUUCUGGGAUUUUUCUCAAAUUAAAAUAAAAGAAAAAGAGUUUUCUUUGAUAUUAUUUGGGAUAUAAAAUACCUGAGAUACAAGUCAUAUGAAAUAUAUAAGAACUGGAAUGCAUGCAGUCAAAUAAUAAUUCUCUCUCUCAUAUAUAUAAUACCCACACACACACACAGACAUAUAUAUAUAUAUAUAUAUAUAUAUACACACACACACAUACAUAUCCGUCCAACCCAUGUAAGCAUGGACAAAUGGAUGUUAGAUCAAUAACAAAAUAUUGUACGUUUAAAAUGUGGAUAACAUGUUACUCUAUUAAAAUUAAAAAAAAAAAAUUUGUCAUGUUUUGCCGUUAACAGAUAAUUGGAGAAAAAAAAAUCUCUAUGCAGUUUAAAUGUUUAAUGUGUCUGCAUUAACAUACAAUAUGUUGUAACACAUGCUUAAUAUGUAAUAAACUGGCUUAGCUGUUUUUUUUUUUUUUUUGAGAUAAAUUAUAAAAGGAAAGUUGAUUUCAUUUUCUUUAGUUUAAACGAAAAAAUUUUUUCUUCAGUGUUAUUGUUAUGGCAAUAUUCUCACAUGGUUCAAUUUCAUUUAAAAAAAAAUGUUUUAUUUUUGACAUGGAAUAAUUGGUUUGUAAGAGUUAAUAUAUUACACACACACACACAUAUAUGAGCUUUCUUUUGCAUCCCUUCUUUCACACACAUACACACACACACACACCCUUUCUCUCUCAAGCACACACUAACUAUAACUAUGCAGCAGUAAUUUCCAGAACAUAGUAUCAUUCAUUACUGUCAUUCUUGAAUAUAUCGUUAGUUUUUAAACGUUCCUAUCUCUUUGAUACUGAUAUAACAUUCAUCCUCAUCAUUGCUACCAUCAUCAUCACUAUUAUCAUCAUCAUCAUCGCUAUCAUUAAUAACAACAACACUUCAUCUCAAAUUAUUUUUGUUAAUUUCAUUUUUUUUUGUCUUAAAAUUUCAUUCAGCAUUUUGAGUUAGAGAACUGAUGUGUAUGUUAUUUUCUUGUUUGAUUUCUGUGACAAUCUCCAGUCUCUUCCCAUACUUGGUGUGUGUGUAAUACUGUCCCAGCCAGAGUGGUCAAUGGUUAUUGGCUGGAAUUAGUAAGAGUAGUAUUGGUGUAAACUGAGAAAAGGAAAAUGUAUGUAUGUGUAUGUAUGUGUGUAUGCCUGUGUGUGUGUGUGUAUACACACACACACAGAUGGUAGUUUAUUUAUUGAUUCAAAGCUAAAGCAUCCCUCCAUUCCUCUAGAUAUUCAUCAGGAUGUUGGCAUGAAGUUUUCUUGUGGGGAAAAUAAAAUGAAAUUUAGGGGCAGGGAUGUGGAGAAAGGGGUAAGAAGGGCCUGAAACUCAAAUUAAAAACAAUUUAAAAAAAUAAUAAGACUCCAACAAAACCUAAAAUUUUGAUUGAAUUUGGAAGAGGUUUACAGAAGCAGGGAAUGGUAAAAUUAAUCUGAAGUUUCUAUUUAUAAUUAUAUUAUAAAGAAAUUUAAGUUAAAUCCAUUAGUAGUUCAGGAUGAAAUUGGCUUUUAAUAGAUAAAGUGUGUUUUAUUAUUCAUUUGAACUUAAUUGUUUUAGGACGAUAAGAUCUCCAUUUAGAUUUGAAUUAUUUUAGUUAUUACUUACUUUGUUUUAUUUAUAUAGGAAUAUUUGAAUAACAAUAAAAGCAUUUAUAGUAAGCAAUGAUGAUUUUUUUUUAUGAGCUUAUGCUACUUCUGCUAAAAUCACAGCUAAAUCGCUCUCAAACUACAUGUAGAAAAAAUACAAAGGUCACAUUUGGUCCUUUGUCUGAAAAUGAAAACAUUUUGGUCAGUGGUGUGCUUAAUUUUAUUAUAUGGGGCUAAAACAACCUCUAAAUUGUCUUUUCCUCUCUCUCUCUCUCUUUUUAAAAAUGGAAACAAAUUCUUGGGCGGGUCAAUGCAGGUUUAUAAUUUUAAUUUUAAAUCAUUUUCUGCUUGUCUAGUUCAGUGUAACUUUUUACCUAUUUAUAGAAAUCUUUCAAUUUUAAAGUAAGAUUUGUGAAAAGUAGUAGUAAUAAUAAUAAUAAUAAUAAUAAUAUAAUAAUAAAGUGAAAACUAUUUUGUACAAAGGGGAAAAGUGAUUAAGCUUAAUUUUUAGAAAUAAAAAUGUGAUUGUGAUAAAUUUUUGACUAGACCUUCAUUCACGUAAAUUUCCUUUUUUUUUUUUUCUCUCUCUCUUAUGCUCAUUGUCUUCAUCUUUCUUGCUUUCAUGAAAUUGGUAUUUCACAGGGUAAGGAAUAUCUUAUACCUGUUUCAUGAAGGAAACUUCCAUAGAGUGUGUGUGUGUUUAUAUAUAUAUAUAUAUAUGUAUAUAUAUAUAUAUAUAAUGUAUAUAUGGUACAUGUGGUUAGAUGAUGGCAUGUGUGUGCAUAUUCAUGUGUGUAUUUGUAUCUAUGUAUGUAAUGACAUUUGUGGCUUCUUCCCGAAUUUAUAUCCGAAGCCAUGAAGUCUGGAAUCACAUUUACAUUCUGGACAGCUGAAAAUGCAAGCUUGUAUGAGUGUUUACUAUUGGUGCAUGAUUCUCGUUGAAAAGGUUAAAAAAAAAAAACUUUACAUUAUUAGGCCUUUCUGUCUAUAGUCCAAUUUUCUCUUCUUUCCCUGUGCAGCAUCUCAUAAUGCAGUACAAUACAUUUUUUUAAUUCAAAUCUACAUCAUUGGAGUGAUGUUUGUUUGCUGUAAACAAUUGAGAAUGUGCUACAUCAUGUUUAUGACAAGCUGUUAUCACAGGAACUAUGUCAAACUGAGAAAUAAAGUUGUCAAAUCAUACUUUGGAAUCUUUUGAUAUUCCCUUGUCUUUAAAAGUAUUAGUGUAGAUAUUAUAUUUUGUUUAAAUGUUCAGGAAAAUUAUUUUUUUCUUCUCCCUCCUUAACCUAUCUAUCUUUUUUCUUUUUUUGAUAGGUGGCAAAUAACCUUUAUUGUUUUAAUUUAUGUUCUUUGUAUAGUGUAAAAUAAACCAGGCUACUUUUCUGUACUUGCAUGGGUUGGACAGAAUUUUCUACAGCUGGAUGCCAUUCACAUUGCCUAUUCUCACCCGUUUUCAAGUAAGGUAAUAUUUCCUCAAGACCAGACAUGUUUUCAUGGAAGAUUGGAAACAAAGGAUACCACUUGCAUGAUGGUGAUACUUGCUUACAACUAUCAUAAAAUGAAUAAGCAAGGAGACAGUAACAUACGGAUUUGCACACCCAAUGGACUUCUUUUGCUUUCCAUCUACCAAAUCCACUUACAAAGCUGUUGUUGGUCUAGAGCUGUAGUGGAAGACUGAACCCAAAAUCAUGUUUGGGAAACAAACUUUUUACCAUACAGUCACUUCUGCACCUAAAAAUAAUGGCCUUUCUUACAGGUUUUUUCCUAUGUCUCCCAAAUGAUCACCCAUCAAGCUAGGCUUGAUGUUGCCUAUUUUCAGUGAUCAAACAAGAACCAGUGUUAUGGCCAUAACACUGAUAUGGCCGUAAAUCAUAUUGAUAUAUAUGUAUAACCAUAGUCAUAUAUGCAUUGUAUUUUUAUUCAUACGCGUGUGUAUGAUGAUAAAGCUUGAUGUAGUCAUCCGGUUUAACAGAUCUUGUUGAAUUGUCCAACCCAUACCAGUAUGGAAGACAAACAAUACAUGAUGUUUUAAAAUAUGUGUAUAGUGGGCAGGGGGCAUACAUAUAUAACUAGCUAAGAUAUCUUCAGAAGGAUUAUUAGUUAAUUAAACUUAGAAAAUUGAUAAUAUAUACGUUUUUAAAGUUUGAUUUGUGGAGUUUUAAUGGAGUUAUACAUCAGUUUCAUUUGUUCAAAGCCAUAAAGUAUUUUAAAACUUUGGAGUUGUUGGAAAAUGUUAAGUUUGGUUUUAGCACUGCCAUAACCAGCAUCUGGAAAUUUGGAACCAUUUGAAUUUCCAAAUUGAUGAAACACAUCAUUAACAAAAUAAUCGGUUAGGAGGUAUUGGUAUUAAUGCGAAUUGUAGAAAUUAAAACCAUUUAGUAAUUCUUUUAUUUCUUAAAAUUCAAAUAAUUUCCUUUUUAAUUUGAUUCAAAUUGUAUUUCAACCUCAAAUUAUAUACAUAUACCUCACUGCUGCUGGUGCCAUGUAAAAAGCACUCAGUACAUUCUGUGAAGUGGUUGGCAUCAGGAAGGGAAUCCAGCCAUAAAACCAUGUUACAACAGAGAGCAAAUUUGAAGUUUUCUGACUUACCAGUUCCUGCUGAACUAUCCAAUCCAUGCCAGCAUGGAAAAUGGACAUUUAGAUGAUGAUGGUAUAUAUAUGUUCUGUUUGCUAUUGAUUCAUAGAUAAGGGUUGCAUUUUGCUUUAUGACAAUGCCAAUUUUAUCAGUUUUAAAAAUAUUGAAACUUGAGGACUUCAGGGAUGGAAAAUUGAAGAGUGAGAUGUAGCUUGGGUUGAAAUUCCCUUACCUCUGUUUUAAACGACAAAAUUAGCUUUAAUAUUUCAAUAUCAAAGACUCCCUUUUUUUUUAAAAGACAUAUGGUAUUGUUAGAAUAGAGGAUAGUUACAUGUCUGAAGUAAAGGGUUAGUUAAGAAGUUAAAAUGGCACUGAUGGCAUAUACUGAGAAUUCAGUGCAAAGGCUGGUAGCGGGUUUCUUUUUAUAUCUAUUUCAUUUCCUAAGUGAACAUUCAGCAGGUUAAAAAAAUAUUAUUUACCAGACUGGAAGACUAAGCGAUAUCUUUAGCUUUUAAUAUAAGUUAAUGCAGGUGCUGUGAAUUAGAGAAUAGAAAUAGCUGAAACCGAUCAGUGUUUUUCUCUUUCAGAUUGCGAUACUUUGUGUUUUUAGGAGAUCCAAUAAGAUUUAUAAAAUAAAAAAAUAAAAAAAUUUUAUUAUUACAAUUACUGUUCAAAUUUCUAACAGCUUCUGAUUUGCAAUUUUUACAUUGAAACCAGUUUUUGAAAAAAUAUGAUUUUCUUAAAGAAGACUAUAUGGUGUGUGUGUGUGUGUAUGUAUGUAUGUAUGUAUGUAUAGUUUUUGAAAUUUCAUAAAGAUUAAUUAAUGACCCUAUAAAAAUUUAAAUUCAAAUGAAGGAAAGUGAAAUAGUCAAAGAAUUAAAAAAUAUACUUCUGUAUGGGAGUGUAAAAAAGAAAAAAGUUAAUUUGUGUUAUUAAGUGCAGCUGAAAAUGUGUAUUUAGAACUAUAUUUGGGCAAACAAAAUGUUAUUUCAAUAUUCUUAGAUAAAUUUUUAUUUAUCAGUAAGUUCAUUUAAAUUUGGAAGUAAAAAAAACUAAUAUGGUUUGUUGAAAACAAAACCCCCCAAAUCUUAUUGCUGGUCAAUAUAGGUUACAUCAUAUUUUUCUAUUCAUUACAAACUGUUAGCAAUUUACAUUUAAAAAAAUUCAUUUGCUAUCCAAAUGUUUAUAUUUGGUUUUUAGUACUGCUGCUCUUGAUUUUGGUAAACUUAUUACUCAAGGCUUGUACUGUUUGGGGAUAUCUUUGUACAGAGACUGAGCUCUUAGCUAAAUAGCUUAAAUCAAAGAUUACAAGUCCUUUAUGAAAUUUGACAUAUUUCAUCAACAUUCAGUUUGGUCUGUUGUUUUAUUCCUUAAACUAGAAAUGUCUGACAUCAAUCUUUUUUGUUAUAGAAUUUUUGCAUGUUUACAUUUUUUUUUUUUUUUUGCUAAAUGAGGUUUUAGAUAUUUGUUGCACAAGAAAUAGAAAUUAAGAUAUAAUUAACAGCAAUAAGUUGUUUAUUUAGAACACAUCGAUUCUACCUCAUUUUACUGUUGAUAUGAUUGCUUGCUGGUAGUGCCGGUGUUAGACAGAAAUGGUCUUCACCACCACUUUCAGCCAUGAAUAAGUGGUUUGAUCUUCUAUCUUAGUAAUUCUUUCACAGGCAGCUUCUCCAGAAUGGAAUAUUACCAUAUUUACCAGCUAAUUUUGUCUUGUAGUUUUUGUGGAAAUUUAAGGCGGUCUCUAAUGUUUGAUUUAAUCUUGUCAUGUUUUAGUUAAAAACUUUACUCCUCUCCACUCUCCUUGUCCCCCUCCUUUUUUUUCCUUCUUGAUUUUGUUAAGUAAAAACUUCAUCUACAGACAUUUUACUGCAGUUAUACAUAUCUAUUUUAAUUAGUUUGUAGUACAGGGGCAUUUCACUUCUCGUGUGUUUGACUAUAAAUAAUGUACAUAAAAUAUUUCUUUAUGACUGUUUGGGUAGAUAAGAAUGGAUAUAAUUUGGCUGUGUAACUUCUAUUAUUAUUAUUAUUAUUAUUAUUAUUAUUAUUAUAGCUUUAUGUAACUAUAUUUCAUAUAAAUGUAUUAUUUCUGUUUAGUAAGAAUGGAUUAACAAACACUUUGCAAAUUUUUUCAGAAACAAUAAACUUUUAAAAAAUAAAAAAAAAAUGAAUAGACGGAAUGAUUUAAAAGGAAUUUUUUUUUUACAUUUAAUUUUAUUUUUCAGGGAAAAUUAUUUUUUUUUGUUGUAACUUUCAUUUCAGAUUUAUUUCUAUUUUAAAUUAAUUUAACAGAUUUGUACUUGUUUAUGAAUGUAUAUUUUAAAUAAUUUAAUUUAAAAAUAAAAAAAAAUGUUUAACUUCAUACCUAGUAUUUUACAUCCUACCAAAAACAAAAGCAAAGACAGAGAAACACAGACCUCCCGAUCUUAGGUGGAAUUAAAAAGAAAAAGCUAUUCAUUUUAUGUUUCUAACACAGAUUUGGAUGAAUAUGGAAUUAUUAUGGUUUUUGCUUUUUUAAAGCUGUAUUUAGCUUAGCUUUGCUGCUAUAUGUGGCAUGCUAACUGAAAAGGAUAUUACAUUAAAAAAAAAAUGAAUUUGAUAGCUAAUAAAAGUUUUGAAUAUAAAAUCUAUAACUUGAUGUUUCAGUAUUAUUAAGAUACAUUUUAUAUGUAAAUUUCAAGUGCAAUGUAUGAUUGUGAAGCUGAUGUUGGAUAUGCAUGGUUACCUCCCUUGAUACAAAAAAAACCCCAACGAGGAUAAAAAAAAAAAUCGAAAGCAAUUCGGUUUUGGCUUAUCCUGUCAUUUAUAUUUACUUACAUAAUUGAUCUAAUAUUAAAUUUUAGAAAUUGUUCUUUUUUUUUAUGUGCCUGCAACUAUUUCAUAACUUUUUUUUUUUUUAAACUUUCACUGUUAGGCUUUGAGAGAAUUAUUUUGUUGACAAGAUCUAGGACUACAUCCCAUUCUAGAAGAAAUUUUUAUGUCACCUGAUAGCUGAUAAUGUUAAUAUAUUGGCAGAUAUUACUCGUCUCAAACCUCCAUUCUUUUUGCCAUCAUUAUGUAACAAUAUAUUUGAUUGUGUUUUAGUUUUAUUUAUUUUUUUUUUUUUGGUUUCAUAUAGCUGCUUCAUUUCAGUUCCUAUCACCAUAUUUAUACAUCUUCAUAGAAUGAACCCAAAACUUACAAAAACAUUAAUUUAAUGAAAGCAUAAUUGUUUUUCUAUUUCAUUUCCAUUCAUUUGUUUUAUCAUUGUGUAAUACUGACUUAACUACAUAAUUUGUUAAGCAUUAUACCCCACCCACCUCUGCUUAAUCAACUGCUUGCAUAAACUUCUAGAGUUGAGAGAAUUUAUUUUUUUUACUUAAAAAUAUUUUUUUGAGAUAUAUAUAUAUAUAUAUAUAUAUAUAUAAAUAUCUUUGAAUGCUUAGUUUCAUCUAUUUCUAAUUUUAUGCUGAGAGACAAUCCACAUAUGGUCACCGCUAUUAUUGCUACUAAAGACCACCACUGCCCUCAUUUGCUCGUCUAAUUUCUCUGCACAUCUAUUUUUUCAUUUAUAACUCAGACUGAAUGAAGUACUGUGCUGUAGAAUUUGCAUUAGAUAGAAAUAAAACAAAUAUCUAUUAAAGUAUAUGUUGAGAGCAGGUCAGUUGGGUGCCAUGAGGCAGAUGUUGUAUGGUACUGUUGUAUGGCAGAUGUAUGGUACUAGUUGUUUCAGUCUGCACAGUUCCUCCAAAGGUACUCUUUGCCACCAGUUGUCUGUGGUAGCAGGAAUGUUAUUAGGGCAGUUUUGACCUUAAUAUAAUGCAUUUCAAAUAAUGUUUAGUAAGGUCUUAAAACUUAAUCCAUUUUUGAUUUGUAACAGUGCAUAUUAAUUGUGCGUUUAGUCAUAUAUAAAUUUUAGUGAAUAAUGAAGAUUUUGUUUCCUGUUGAUGAAAUGCAUAUUUUCAGAGAAAAUAUCAUCUAUUUGAUAGAACUAAUUCAGUUGUCUUUAGAUAAACGAAGCUGUUACGAUUUGAAGCAACAAACUUUGUUGUGUAACUUUCUACAAUAGGUACAAGACCAGCAAUUUUGAGUAAAGGUGUUAAGUUGAUACUUUGAUCUCAGAACUCGACUGGUGUUCUAUUUUAUUGAUGACGACGCCCCCCACCUCUUCUUCCCCUGGAGUGAUGAAAGGCAAAGUUGACCUUUGCAAGGUUUGAAACCAAAGCAUAAAGAACUAGAAACUAUUCUAUAUAAUGCAGACAGUAGCGUCCUAAGAAAGCUCAUAGAGAUUUGUAGAUUAUACAUAUAUAAUCUGAUAUUUCAGUCAUAUCAAGCUUUGUGGGUUAUCACAUGGGUCUUUGUUUUAUAAAUAAUAUAUUUUUUUUUAUAAUUGGCAGAAGGCCAGUGAUUUUUAGGGGGAAAAGUGGGUUAGUCAAUCACAUUGACCUCCCCAGUACUUGUACUUUAUUUUAUCAGUUCCAGAAAAGAUUAAAAGCAAAGUUAAACUCAGUGUAUCCGCCAAAACGCUAGGCAGCAUUUCUUCCGGUUCUUUAUGUUGUAACGAUUCUGCCAGUUCACCACCACUAUGACAACAAUAAUAAUAAUGAUAAUUUUAUUUUUAAACUUGAGAACUUUGUAAGAUUCUCUCUAACUAGACAUAUCAUUUAAUGUGUUGAAUUCAGCAACAGCUGUGUUCUUUAUAAGCAUGGGUUUUAUGUUAGCCCAACAGUUUUGCAAAAGAGUACCAUAGUCAUUAAGUAGAAGUCAGUGUUGUUAGCCAAUGAAACAUUUGCUAAUUGUUUGACUGAGUAGUAAGGCUAACUUCAGCAUUACAAUAACAAUAUUGCUAAACACCUGAGUAAUUAAUUAGCUAUUAUUUAUGGACAAUUUUCUAUAUUUUAUUACUAGUCCCUAUGUUUUUUUUUAAUUAUACCGUUUUAUUUUUAUCUAGAACAUUCCAUUCUAAUAUAUUCCACUAUUGUACAGCUAUUUUAAUGAAGCUUUACAAUUAAUUCUAGAAUGUUUUAUAUUUACAUUAGAAAGAUUAUCUUACAAGGAAACAACUCAAAGGUAACAAAAAAUAAAAAAAAAAUAAUUGUAAUUAUAUCUUGAAUUAUUAUUUUCUAUAUGUAUUGAGAAUUUCUUUUUUUGAGAUUUAAUAAAGAACAUGAUGCCUAAGGAAAAAUAAUAAAAAAAAUACUAAAAAAUUAUAAAACUUGGUUUUACACUAACUUGAUACUUAUUGUAUCAUUAAAUAAAAGAGAAAGCAAAACUAUGAAUUAUACAGAGAUUUGUAAACCUGUUGGAUUAUUGGGGCACCACUGCUGGUCUAAUCUUGUAUUGAGAAAAUAUACCUGUCUAUUUUACAAUAUUUUUACCUUGUGGUUAUUAUUUACAGCUAAGUAAACUGGGACCAGGCCACUUGAAAAUAAGGUGUUUUGGCCAUGAACUGCUAGCCUUAGUAAUUGGUAGUCUUGUAGCAGUUUCAGCCAGCUAUAAUCUUGAAAGUAUUUAAGCUGGGCAGAGAGAGGGGUGGGGUGGUCACAGCAUUAAUGAAUAUUUUACGAAUUUAGACGGUUAAAACUGUUUAGAUAUUAAAGGCAUGUGAAAGGGUUUAUUUUGCUAAUUACUCAACAAAUUGAAACAAAAUUUCAUUCGUCCCUCAAAUUAAUAUUUCUCUAUAAACCAGGCUCGAAGCUUGCUGCCUCCUUUUAAAAGGAAUUGGGAAGUUGUUGCAUUUGAUAUUCCUCACAAGUAUUUACUAGCAUCAUAGAAGAAGUAACUCCAAACAGGAGUUGAAGCUGGUUUUGUCUUUGAUGGCCAUGAGCUUUACUCUUCACUUUCCUGAGUAGGAUGUGAGCUUCUGUGUAGCUGUCCAACUUGAUGGAAAUAACCACCAAAUUCCUUGUUCAAAUCAUUCUAUACUGUAUCAUAUUGAAAACAGGAAGGACAAAAUUGAAUAAUGUAGUCCCAAAUAGUAUCUGAAAAUGAGAUGGGAUGGUCAUGGUUGGACCAUAGUUGAUGGGUUGAACAACUGAAUUUGAUUUUGAUGUUGCAGAUUCUUCAACCCUUUAGCGUUUAAACUGACCGUAUCCAACCAAAAUAUUCUAUCCGUUUUAUGGUCAAACUGGCCAGAUCCAGCUGCUCGCAGUUACCCUACAAAGUCAUUUUAAAAGUAAACAAUCAUAUCAUUGAAAUCUCAAAGCUAUGAGAUAAUGCAUGAUUAAUUCAAAGCAAUAUGAAUAAAUAAGUAUUACAUUUGACAGAACAACCUGAAUGCUAAACAAUUAAGCAACAGCCACAAAUCUGAUGGGUGAUAGUGUCUAACUUGUUUAGUGUUUAGCACUAUGAAACUUGAGUUCUUGUCUCUUCACUCACUCAUCCUAGUUAUGCUUUUGACAUCACUAUGUUGCUAACCACCCUCCUGGUCAUGUCUUGAGUAAAUAUACCAAAGACUUAGUGAGUCUUACAGAGCAGAAAACAAUUCUCACAACAAAUGCUUGUGCCAUGAUAAAAAGAAGAAGCAUCUAGUACACUCUGUAAAUGUGUUGAUGAACGAGUUUGAGAUGAUGCAGAGUCAAGAGGACUCUUUGGUCUUAUUUGGGGACGUCCCAACUUCAACACUGCUGGUACAGUAAUAAAAUGCAUUCAGUACACUCUGCAAAGUGGUUGAUGCUUAGAAAGGCGUCCAGCUGUAGAAACCAUGCCAAAAAAUUAAACAUACAAUAGAGACAUGAAUCUCUGACCUGUGACAACACCCAACCAAUCCACGCCAACAUGGAAAAUAAAUGUAAAAUGAUAAUUGAAAAAUGAGUGUUAUUUUCACACAAGUCUGCCAUUUGACCUGCCCAUUUUGGAUGUCUAAAACAGGCUGAAUUACUAUGUAUUAUAAAUGAAAGAGGGAAAAAAGAAAAAAAAAAAAUGUAAAUUGUGUUUUUAUUCAUUUCAUACCUGAGCAUGAAUUAAAUCUUUUUUCACGUCACACUCAA